CUAGGCUAUGGUGACAUGGUCCCGAUCACAUGGCAGGGUCAAAUAGUGGGAUCUCUGUGCGCUGUUUGCGGAGUACUGAUGAUAGCACUUCCGGUUCCGGUCAUUGUGAGCAAC
rfam:Nematostella vectensis strain CH2 x CH6 NEMVEscaffold_94_Cont12010, whole genome shotgun sequence.